rnacentral:rRNA from 1 species
UACGUAGGGUGCAAGCGUUGUCCGGAAUUAUUGGGCGUAAAGAGCUCGUAGGCGGUUCGUCGCGUCGGCUGUGAAAUCCCGAGGCUCAACCUCGGGUCUGCAGUCGAUACGGGCGGACUGGAGUUCGGCAGGGGAGACUGGAAUUCCUGGUGUAGCGGUGAAAUGCGCAGAUAUCAGGAGGAACACCGGUGGCGAAGGCGGGUCACUGGACCGGUACUGACGCUGAUGCGCGAAAGCGUGGGGAGCAAACAGG